rnacentral:rRNA from 1 species
GCGAACGCGGCGAACUGAAACAUCUAAGUAGCUGCAGGAAAAUAAAUCAACCGAGAUUCCCAAAGUAGUGGCGAGCGAAAUGGGAAGAGCCUGUACGUGAUAGUCGGACUGAUAGUGGAACGCUCUGGAAAUGGCGGCCAUAGCGGGUGAUAGCCCCGUACACGAAAUCAGACCGGUGGUACUAAGCGUACGACAAGUAGGGCGGGACACGAGAAAUCCUGUCUGAAUAUGGGGGGACCAUCCUCCAA